GAUGAACGCUGACAGAAUGCUUAACACAUGCAAGUCGAUGGGGAAGUGGUGCUUGCCCCAUGGCAACCAUGGCGGACGGGUGAGUAACGCGUAAGGGACUUACCUGCAGGACUGGGAUAACAGGGGGAAACUCCUGACAAGGCCGGAUAAUGUCAUGGAGCUGCAUGGCUUUAUGAUGAAAGGAGACGCCUGCGGAGAGCCUUGCGUCCUAUUAGCUAGUUGGUGAGGUAAUGGCUCACCAAGGCGAAGAUAGGUAGCCGGCCUGAGAGGGUGGACGGCCACAAGGGGACUGAGAUACGGCCCUUACUCCUACGGGAGGCAGCAGUGGGGAAUAUUGGACAAUGGGGGCAACCCUGAUCCAGCAAUUCUGUGUGCACGAAGAAGGUUUUCGGAUUGUAAAGUGCUUUCAGCAGGGGAGAAGUAAGUGACGGUACCUGCAGAAGAAGCGACGGCUAAAUACGUG
rnacentral:rRNA from 1 species